GGGCGAUUAGCUCAGUUGGUUCAGAGCGCCUGCCUUACAAGCAGGAGGUCACAAGUUCAAAUCUUGUAUCGCCCA
rnacentral:tRNA from 1 species